AUUUCAGUAUCUGAAUUGUCUGUUUGAAUCAGCAUCGUUGAUUGAUUCACAUUUUAUUCUUGUGCUACCAAUAAGAGGGAUUGAGUUCUCAAAUUCAAUUGUACUUGGAAUUUCUUGUUUAAGUAGGUUUGUUAGCAUAUCAAAUAACCUUGUUUUUGUUACGCUGUUGACAUUGGUGAUGGGUUUGUAGACUUGUGUGGUCAGUUAGUCAAGGUGCUUGUUACCUUACACCAAAUUUCAAGUUAACCUUGUUUUUGUUACGCUGUUGACAUUGGUGAUGGGUUUGUAGACUUGUGUGGUCAGUUAGUCAAGGUUGUGUGCUCAUUACCUUGCACCAAAUUUCAAGUUAACCUUUAAUUUUUUUAACAACUAUAUUA
rnacentral:lncRNA from 1 species